rnacentral:rRNA from 1 species
UACGUAGGGGGCUAGCGUUGUCCGGAAUCAUUGGGCGUAAAGCGCGUGUAGGCGGCCCGGUAAGUCCGCUGUGAAAGUCGGGGGCUCAACCCUCGAAUGCCGGUGGAUACUGUCGGGCUAGAGUACGGAAGAGGCGAGUGGAAUUCCUGGUGUAGCGGUGAAAUGCGCAGAUAUCAGGAGGAACACCAAUUGCGAAGGCAGCUCGCUGGGACGUCACUGACGCUGAGACGCGAAAGCGUGGGGAGCGAACAGGAUUAAGAAACCCUGG